rnacentral:rRNA from 1 species
UGGGGAAUAUUGGACAAUGGGCGAAAGCCUGAUCCAGCCAUGCCGCGUGUGUGAAGAAGGUCUUCGGAUUGUAAAGCACUUUAAGUUGGGAGGAAGGGUUGUAGAUUAAUACUCUGCAAUUUUGACGUUACCGACAGAAUAAGCACCGGCUAACUCUGUGCCAGCAGCCGCGGUAAUACAGAGGGUGCAAGCGUUAAUCGGAAUUACUGGGCGUAAAGCGCGCGUAGGUGGUUUGUUAAGUUGGAUGUGAAAUCCCCGGGCUCAACCUGGGAACUGCAUCCAAAACUGGCAAGCUAGAGUAUGGUAGAGGGUGGUGGAAUUUCCUGUGUAGCGGUGAAAUGCGUAGAUAUAGGAAGGAACACCAGUGGCGAAGGCGACCACCUGGACUGAUACUGACACUGAGGUGCGAAAGCGUGGGGAGCAAACAGGAUUAGAUACCCUUGUAGUCCCUGAGCGGGCUGGCAAGGCGCAU